rnacentral:miRNA from 1 species
AACCUCAUCAGCCGGAAGGGAUCCUUCCGGUCGAUGAGGUAUAACAACCCCAAACAACCUCAUCAAUCGGAAGGCAUUCCUUCCAAUCAAUGAGGUUGUUGUGAACCUCAUUGAUUGGAAGGAUUCCUUCUAAUAGAUGAGGUUGUCAUACCUCAUUGACCGGAAGGAUUCCUUCCAAUUGAUGGGGUU